CCUACGGGAGGCAGCAGUGAGGAAUAUUGGUCAAUGGACGAGAGUCUGAACCAGCCAAGUAGCGUGAAGGAUGACUGCCCUAUGGGUUGUAAACUUCUUUUAUAAAGGAAUAAAGUGAGGCACGUGUGCCUUUUUGUAUGUACUUUAUGAAUAAGGAUAGGCUAACUCCGUGCCAGCAGCCGCGGUAAGACGGAGGAUCCGAGCGUUGUCCGGAUUUGUUGGGUUUAAAGGGAGCGUAGAGGGGUUGUGAAGUCAGUUGUGACAGUUUGCGGCUCAACCGUAAAAUUGCAAUUGAUCCUGGCAGUCUUUAGUACAGUUGAGGUAGGCUGAAUUCGUGUUGUAGCGGUGAAAUGCUUAGCUCUCAC
rnacentral:rRNA from 1 species